CCGGGCGCGCCCAGGCUGUAGCUGCUGUAGCCGCGGUGCGGCGCGAACUGGCAGACGGCGCGGCCGCGGGACGUGCAGUCGAAGAGGUUUGACUUUACGACUCUUCACGCGAUGCCACACCACGCCAGCAAGCAAGUUCGCUGCAUCACCUAUCUCCCUGGAGAACAUCUGUCCAAACUUCCUUGGACACUUGCUUUAAGAAAGCAGACAAGACUCCAGAAAAACCUGCAGCUGAGACUCUGGAGAAGACUCCAGCCAAGAGCCCUUCAAAAAGUCCAGUAAAGUCACUUCAAAUAAGUCCUCCAAAUCAAUAAGAUUGCUAUUUACAAUAUAAAUACACUGAUGUAGCGAUAUUACUCAUCUGUAAUUGAUUGAGUACAAAAUUCUGGGUUAUUUUUGGUUAAUAUAGGGUAUUGGGCCUUGGUUCAGGAACCAACCCCCCAUUUAUAACAUUGUUCCUAUGGGAAAAUCAGUUCCAAGUUACGGUGUUUCGACUUAAGAUGUGGUUUUCAGGAACGAAUUGUGUCGUAAGUCUGAGGACUGCCUGUAUUUAACCCCAGCAGUCUUUCCUGCCCAGAGCAGGAGGGCUGGAUUUGAUAAUCGCACGAUGUCUCUUUCCUCAUCCAAGUGACCUAAAGUUGUGAAAAGGCUUUCUCAGUUCUUUUCACUGGGUAUGGGAUUCUGCUUUCCUACCCAUCCUAAAUUUCAUGUUGGUGUGGGUGCACGCUCUUAAAUUUGCCCCAUGUAAUCUCAGAUGUGGGUGGAGCAAAAUAGCAGGUAAAGUGCACAUAGUGUGAAGUGCAUAUAACAUGCAGGUAAAGUGCAUAUAAUGUGAUCCAAAAUUAUUUCGUAUACAAAACUCUCAUUGUCUUCAAUAGGAAUUGGAUGCCCAUGAAGGGAAUGAAACAUUUUAGUAUUCAUUGGAACAUAUUGGAUGCUGAGGAAAAAGUGAACUAUCUGAUCAAGAAUAAUAUUCCCCACAUAUCAGGUCUCUUCAUAGAUUUCAUAGAAAUUUAGAUUGCACUGCAUUUAGCACAUCCAAAAUUGGCUACAUCAAUAGUUCUUUAUAACAUUCAGUAAAUAUGAUUUUUAAAAGUUCUAUUGACAUAUUAAAACGUCACUCCACAAGCCAAUCAUAA